UUACUUUGUAGGAUCUUUUCUAUAGAGUCGUACGACCGUGUCCUUGAUUGUAGAGGAGACGGGCAACUCCGUCUGGAGGAGGACGUGGGACCUCGUUGCCAGAGCGUGAUGAACGGUCUUUGAUCUUACGAGAUCUGAAGGCUGUAGAGGAUCGUUCUCAACUCUUACCCGAAAGGGUUGGGGUGGCUUCAAGGUUGUCUGACAGACUCUCAUCAUCUCAACGUUUUCUUGGGUUUUUGCCACGGCGUCUCCUUCCCAUCCGACCUAGGAGAAGGAAGAUGCUCCACCCCCCCCUCUCCGGCGAGGCUUUCUUUUUUAAAUUUAUGGUUUCAGCCCAAAUGGAACAAUGUACUUCUGGAGAUGUUCAGAAUUGACUAUGUUGGAACCUCUCCAUACAUCUCAUGCAACCCCUCUUUAUCACUGUAAAUUCAGUCCAAAGGGUAGAUUUUUUGAUAUUAUCAUUCGAUGGGCUUUUCCAAUAUUUCACAAAUGAGGAAGCCGUAGCUCAAGUUGAAAUGUUCAUUGCGAUGACUCCCGAAUGUGAUCCUGCUCAACACCUUGUUGAGCAGGUCCUUCUCCGUGCAGCAAAAAAAGCUGGCAUGGACCUCCAUGAACUACUGGAAAUUCCACAAGGUGACUGUCGACGAUACCAUGAUUGAUGAUGUCUCCAUCAUUGUUGUUUCUUUGGAAGGAAGAAUAUGGAGAUCCUGCAUGUAAAUAUAGAUACAAUAGAUACAGAUGAAAAAGAAUAGAUUGAGAUCUAUAGAAGAGUUAAGGGCUUUCCUGUUUUUUCCUGUUUGCCUUUGUACCAUAACAAAUCAGCUCUGGGGAAGUGUCAGUGCCCAUGUAUCAAGCAGUGGCAGGGAACAAAGGUACAAAGCUGCUUCAAGUCAAUUCAAACUGUUAAAAAGAGGGUGUAAUAUUCUAUAAGUGGUUCUCUCUGAAAGAUUAAUUAUUCAAUUAAUAAUUCAUGUUGUCCUGAUCCAUCA